rnacentral:rRNA from 1 species
AGUGAACGCUGGCGGUAUGCCUAACACAUGCAAGUCGAACGGCCGCACAGUAAGCGCUCGCCCCUACGGGUGGCGGGGGGCGGACGAGUGAGGCAUGCAUCGGCUUCUUCUUUUUCUUGGGGGAUUACGUAAGGCAACUUCCACUACUACCUCAUACUACGAACGGGUGGAAUCAGGAGAUAUUGAGACUUUUGCCGUCUCUUAUAGACGGUUUCGUGUUGGAUUAGCUAGUUGGUAAGGUAACGGCUUACCAAGGCGACGAUGCGUAGCUGAGCUGAGAGGAUGAUCAGCCACACUGGAACUGAGACACGGUCCAGACUCCUACGGGAGGCAGCAGUGGGGAAUAUUGGACAAUGGGCGAAAGCCUGAUCCAGCCAUACCGCGUGGGUGAUGAAGGCCUUCGGGUUGUAAAGCCCUGUUGUUGGGAAAGAAAAGAAGUAUGUUAAUACCCCGCUGUUCUGACGGUACCUAAAGAAUAAGCACCGGCUAACUUCGUG